AGGUGUGAAGGUGAUCUAGAAGUGAAACCUGUCCCCCCACUGAUCACCAGGGUAGAUUCAGCUGACCUAGCUGGGUAGUCAGGUGUCCCCUUCCUUGCUCCUCCAUGUGCAUCCCUUCUGUAGUUGUGUACUUAAAGAGGAUGACCUUCCCAGAUAGAGGACUCUUCUUCCAUCAAGGGUUUAUGAGAAGCUUCGCACCCGUUAACACCUCCAAACAAACUCUCAGGCUCAAUUUGUAGAAUGUAGGAUAGUCAAGCUUCCAAGACUCCAGACACAUCCAAAUGAGGCACUGCAUGUGGCAGUCUGCCUUUCUUU
rnacentral:snRNA from 2 species